rnacentral:rRNA from 1 species
UACGUAGGGUGCGAGCGUUGUCCGGAAUUAUUGGGCGUAAAGAGCUCGUAGGCGGUUUGUCGCGUCGACUGUGAAAACCUGGGGCUUAACUCUGGGCCUGCAGUCGAUACGGGCAGACUUGAGUUCGGUAGGGGAGACUGGAAUUCCUGGUGUAGCGGUGAAAUGCGUAGAUAUCAGGAGGAACACCGGUGGCGAAGGCGCACACCUGGCCCGAUACUGACGCUGAGGCGCGAAAGCUAGGGGAGCAAACGGG